rnacentral:misc_RNA from 1 species
AACAAUUCUGUAUUAUUUGUCAUAGUUUUUAAUCUUGAGCUCUAUGUAUCUAUUAUUUGUAAUAUGUGGGUACCUGUAUUUUUAACUGUUGCAGGUUUUUUUUUAUAAUGUAUUAGUACUAGAAUUCACAGCAUUAUAGUGACCAAUAUAGCAGCAUGUCUUUGACCAUUCUCUCUUGAAAGUUAUUAACACUUAAUCUAUUUUAACAUUGUGAUAUUUUCAGAUUAUAGUCUUAUACACAUCUGUUGGCUGAUAUUAUGUAGCGUUUUAUAAACUGGGUGUCAGUUGCUGCCAGGCGAAACUAAUCUCAGAUUAAGACAUCCAUCAGCCAUUUUAAAACAGUACACUGUUAACUGACCAAGAACCAUGUCAGACAUAUUCUUGAGGCUGUGUGAUAUUUGAUGGAGUGUUGGUUCUGUGGGUUGUUUCCCCUGGUAGAUGAUAUUGACCCCGUACAAGUUUUUGUGCAAUCCUUGUAGUGUAUGUGUAUAAGUACGGGAUAUGGAAUGUUUUACUACUGUUAUAUAAACUAAUAAACUGCAACAUAUA